GACGUAGGGCGCGAGCGUUGUCCGGAUUUAUUGGGCGUAAAGAGCUCGUAGGCGGCUUGUUGCGUCGGCUGUGAAAACCCAUGGCUCAACCGUGGGCGUGCGGGCGAUACGGGCAGACUGGAGUACUGCAGGGGAGACUGGAAUUCCUGGUGUAGCGGUGGAAUGCGCAGAUAUCAGGAGGAACACCGGUGGCGAAGGCGGGUCUCUGGGCAGUAACUGACGCUGAGGAGCGAAAGCGUGGGGAGCGAACAGG
rnacentral:rRNA from 1 species